rnacentral:lncRNA from 1 species
GCGAAUUCUACACAAUUACAUCCCUACUAGAGCUAAUCUUUUUACAAGAAGAGUGAUUGCGUCUCCCAGUUGCCUCAGAUGUAAUAGAGAGGUUGAAACUAAUGCAGAUGCAAUGAUGGGUUGUGAAUCUACAAAAAUCAUAUGGAAAGUUUGGGUUUUAAUGGCCUAAAUAUUGCUGAUGUAGAGGAAUUAUGGGAAUGGUUCGCACAGAGACUAAAAAAUGAUCAACCAAUUACCUGUAGGUCUAUUCUGAUCACUGCUUGGGCAAUUUGGUUUGGGCGUAACAAACAAGUGAUGGAAGGAAAAGUUCUCUCUAUCCACGAUAUCAACAUCAAAAUUAGGAGUUUGGCAAAGGAUUAGAUCAAAAAAAUAACCCUUUACCUGGUUCUCAGCAAGAUCCUCGAGCGAACUGGAAUCCCUUAAACGAGAAUUUUAUUAAACUGAAUUUUGAUGUUGCAUACAAAGGAAAUUCAAGAACCUCUUGUUCAGGAUUUGUAAUCGGGAAUUCAAAUGGUCAAAUCAUGGGUAGUGGUUUUAAACAAAACAGGAACAUAUCUUAUGCCUUCUCGGCUGAGGCUCUCUCAUGUUUGCAGGGUCCAACUUUCGCAAAUGAUAUGGGGUUUAGUCGUCUGAUCGUGGAGAGUGAUGCUUGUACCAUUAUCUCCAGAAUAGAACGAGAUAGAGAAGAUAGAUCGAAGAUCGGGCCCUACAUCAAAGACAUAAAAGUUCUAUCUCAAGCUUUUAGAUCUAUCAAGUUCUGCUUUACUCCUAGAACUGCGAACAAAGCUUCCCACAUUAUGGCUCAAGAGGGAUUCAAAGGAGAAGAGGACACCUACUGGGUUGAGGAAGCUCCUGACGCUGUUAUGGCAGCAGUGGAGGAAGAUAGACGAUGGAUUGACCCCCUUGAUAAUCUGUCAUUUGAUGUUGCUGAUCUAUGGCUAAUGUUGUGUUCUAUGGAAAGCCACAUUAUUCUAGUCGUUUGCUGCUAAGAUUGGAGGAGAUUUUAGUGGAAUAUUAAGAGCCGAAGUUGUGUUGAAGAAAGGAAACAAUAUAUUGAUUGUAGCGUUGGACUACUUUAUUUUCUUUUAAUAAAAGCUUCGGUCUUAUCCUUCAGAAAAAGAAAAAAAAGAAAAAGUAAUCAUCAUCUAGUGAUGCAUUAUCCAUGCGGGUAGAAUUUUAUUAACGGUUUUAACACUAAAUAUCAUAGUAAAAUAUAUAUAGAUAGUUCAAAU